CGGCGAUCUUGCGAAUUCUGUCCAGAACCAGGUCGAUAAUUUCCUUUCCCAGAGUAUAGUGUCCUCGAGCGUAAUUGUUCGCCGCGUCCUCUUUACCGGAAAUUAGCUGCUCGGGGUGAAAUAGCUGAUGGUUAGAAUAAACUAUGACACGAUAAAGAACUAUAAGAUGAUUUGCCCAGAGAAAUUUUUAAAUAAGGUUUAUGUUAUUUAAAUUAAACCUACCAAUGACUGUGGGCUCAAGGUCCAGAAAUACAGCUCGUGGAACAUAUUUUCCACCGCCGGUCUCGCUGAAGAAAGUUUGAAAACCCUCGUCGCUAGAACAACUCUGAGGCGGAAGCAUGCCAUCAGGUAAUUAUUGGAAUAUUUUCUUAUACGUAGACGACAAAAUUAAAGAAAUAAUUACCAUUGUGGCGAAUUAUCGGUAAUCGGUGGAGAGAAAGAUAGGCGAGACGAAUGUUCACAGGAUGAACGUCCGAAUUCAACUGAAUGAACGAUACAUUCUGUGGAAGAAUUUUGUUUCCGUUGCUAAGAAGUAACAAUUUGUAAUGAAACAUACGGUGUUUCAAUUGCAAACUACAGAAUCGCUUCUUACAUCGAUUUUGAGUUUUCAAGAAAUUAUUUAAUUAUUUCCUGCUUCGCUUACAAAUAUGAAUUUGUUUAUUUAUGCUUUCAAGCUUCGUUUCUAAACAUUGGUUUAUUUAUUUACGAAAUUUCCGAAAACUUCGAGCGACAAGAAUUUUGUUGGCUCGCCAAUUUUUAAUCUUGGAUUUGUUUGCAAACUCUGGUUUUUCAUUUUGUUCAUUUACAAUUUUGAUGUUUGUUUAUUUAUGUUUUCAAUGAUUGUUUGCAAACAUUGGUUUGUUUGUUUGGUUGAAAAUGGAAAGUCAACAAGUUUCCUCGUACUUGUGGUAAUGUCAGUCUUAAGAAAUUCUUUUCAGAAGUGAGCCUAAAAAUUUGCCAAACUAUUUAUUUCUAGAAUGAAAUUGAUAGGAAUAGGAUUAGGAAUUUAGUUACGGGUAAAUAAUAAAACAAUUGUUUAAUUUUUUCCAUGUAAAAAUAUUCAUUUAUCAAAUAACAUUGUUGAGAAUUAUGUGGUUACAAUAAUUUGUAAUCGAACAAUAUUCCUAGAUUUUCUGUUUUUGCUUAAUCACUACAAAAACGAUCUUUUUAUUGAACUACCCCUUAUCUUGUCUUAUCACUACUUGCAGUAUCUUUAGCUUUCUACGUAGCUUAUACAUAGAUUAAUACUAUAUGGUAUAUAUAUUUCUAUACAAAUACUAACAUUAUAAGCAUAUCCUAAUAUUUUAGAAUUUUUGCCUUAAGUAAUAAUAUAUUAAAAAAUUAAUGUGUAAUGUAUCUUGAAAUUAUUAAAAUGUUCUUAAUGUUCUGAAGGUUAUCAAAGAUUGUUAAAAUAUAUAUGAUAGCAGUUACUAUUGACGAGUAAAGCCCAAUUUUUCAAGAGAUUAGUAACCCCUGCAAGAUGAUCACCCCUGUUGCAAGAAUAUUUUUUCACCUACAUCAAGCGGACGAGGUGGCCGAGAGGUUAAGGCGUUGGACUGCUAAUCCAAUGUGCUCUGCACGCGUGGGUUCGAAUCCCAUCCUCGUCGAUUACUUUUUGCUUCUAACAUUUUGUUGAAUUUGAUCUGUUAUUUUCGAAUUAUUCACGUAACACUCAUAUAGGAAAUCAUAUACUUAUUAAAUAUUAAAACUAAUGAAUAUAUAUAUAUAU